CUUCUCCGAUACAGCAAACAACAACGUUUAAUAUCAACAAAACCAGCAAACAACAAUAAACAACGACAACACCAGCUGCAGGCAAACCGACCCGAACAACAACUUGUUGAAAUCCAACGACAAUUUCAACCUAUCAAAACCUAAAACAGUGACAACAACGGCUACAACCCGACCUGUGAACACCAAAAAUUCAACCCAACAAACCCCUUGAAUCACGAAAAUACAUCUCUUUUCGUCUUAUCUUUGCAAUUUGGCAGGCCUAGAGCCAUCUUUGUUGACCUUCUGCUCAAGAUUGAGUGUCUUCAAUUCUAAAAUCCAAUUCAAAUCAGAAAGUGUCAGUCCAAAUCUGAAUUUCAGGGAUAUAUUUUCUCUAUUUUUUAAAGACGGAAAAAUCAAUAUCUUCUUGUAUAAAUGGGAAUUGAGGGGAAGAAGGUAAGGGGGAUUUUGGGAAAAAAUUGGGGGUUCUAAAGGCGCUUGCUUUUAACCUCACGAAACCAAAAUUCUCGGCGAACAUACUCCAAAAAUUGAAUUCCGAUGAAACUGUUGAACUCCGGCAAGGCUAGUUGGCAUUCCGGUGGUGGAAGUUGCAACGUGAUAGGCUCAAUUGUUUCGUUCGCUGCCCGAAAACAGUCCCUCGGACUCCCUCUCUCACAUUCCGUUGGGUUAAACCUGAUUUGCAUCGAGUCAAAACCUCAGAUCCAAGUCCCAAGGGGACUGCUUUGUGCUUGUAUACAACAGAUAUACACCAUUAUACAGGCUUGGAAAAGGAUACAUGGAAAAGGAAGCUGAUUAUGUGGUUGGAAGGCAAAAAAUAUGUAUAUAUUUGACCAGUAUACGGUCUUAUAUACGCUGUAUAUAUACAAAAACGCAGCAGCAGAAAAUCUGAUAUACAGUCAGUAUACAACUGGGUAUACAUUGCAGAAAUGGACCAAAAGUCCAAGAAGAAUAGGCCCAAAAGUUGACCAGAUUUGACAAGGGCCCAAUAUUUAAAACUGUUUCUCUUUAGUUUCCAUUUUAACUUGUUUAUUUGUAUUUAUUUGAACACUCUAACUAAUUAAUUUAGAUAAAUCUCCUAAGAUGUUAUCAUUUUAUUUUA